rnacentral:tRNA from 1 species
GUUUUUGUAGUUGAAUACAACACUGAUUUUUCGGGUCAGAGGUCCUGGUUAAAUCCUAGGUAAAAAUA